UGCAGCAACGCCGCGUGAGGGAUGACGGCCUAUCGGGUUGUAAACCUCUUUUAGCAGGGAAGAAGCGAAAGUGACGGUACCUGCAGAAAAAGCGCCGGCUAACUACGUGCCAGCAGCCGCGGUAAUACGUAGGGCGCAAGCGUUAUCCGGAAUUAUUGGGCGUAAAGAGCUCGUAGGCGGUUUGUCGCGUCUGCUGUGAAAUCCCGAGGCUCAACUUCGGGUCUGCAGUGGGUACGGGCAGACUAGAGUGCGGUAGGGGAGAUUGGAAUUCCUGGUGUAGCGGUGGAAUGCGCAGAUAUCAGGAGGAACACCGAUGGCGAAGGCAGAUCUCUGGGCCGUAACUGACGCUGAGGAGCGAAAGGGUGGGGAGCAAACAGGCUUAGAUACCCUGGUAGUCCACCCCGUAAACGUUGGGAACUAGUUGUGGGGUCCAUUCCACGGAUUCCGUGACGCAGCUAACGCAUUAAGUUCCCCGCCUGGGGAGUACGGCCGCAAGGCUAAAACUCAAAGGAAUUGACGGGGACCCGCACAAGCGGCGGAGCAUGCGGAUUAAUUCGAUGCAACGCGAAGAACCUUACCAAGGCUUGACAUAUACGAGAACGCUGCAGAAAUGUAGAACUCUUUGGACA
rnacentral:rRNA from 1 species